GAUUUUGCGCGAAGUUCGCAUUGCAGAAUUUUACAAAAGUAAAUAGAUGAUUUCAAGGUCGUUUUUCGGGUUAUCUAUUGUCCUCAUAUGUAAGCCGUUUUUGUAAUUUCUUUUACAAACAUCGAAUUUCCUUUGUUUGUUCUGAUAAUUUGGACUGGUAUGUUUGCCGCUAGAUGGCGUAAAGCUUCCACGAUACGUUGCCUGACUGAGACACUGAGCAACCUGCUAAGCCAUUUGGAACCGAGUUGGUUAUAUAAAGACAAGUCAAGUUUCCUGCCCCGGCCAGCCAAGCCAUCAGUCAUACGCUUGCCCUUGGCUCAGCCGGCAGUCUAUCCAGACUAGACCAGACCAGAGGUGCAACCAACAUGCCCACUCUGGCAUGCAUAAUCCCCCAACGCUGACCUGAAUUCCUCCCUUUUUUUUUUUUUUUUAGUAUUCCUGUCAGUGGCACCCACCCACUUUCCAUUUCCUCUCUUUGGCUCCCGAUGCCCUUUUCUGCCACAUUGUUACUUUUGUCACGUCACUUGGUGUGAAUUUGACACAUUGGCUGCGCGUCACCUGUUUAUCAGGAUUUCACUUUGCGUAAACACUCAGGAAGGAGUGUGCGUGCGUGUCAAUGCGGGGAGGGUGUUUCCAAGGUUACCGCAGAGGCACUAAAUAACUGUGACAGCUGUGGCUGGGGACUCUAGUCAAGCAAAACGAUAUCGCCAUAGAUACAGAGCACUAGACGGCAACAACACUUCAUUCCCCCGUGGCGUAAACACAAAUAAAUGAAGCCGCAACCGCAAUUUGUGCGUCCUUCUUCAAGCAGGUCAUUGAGUCUGUCAUGUCAUUGAUUAUCAGGAGAUUGUGGGCGUGUUGCAAACGACAGUCACACCAUUUCUAGAGGACCGCUUUUGAGGGACAACAAAACAACCGACGACAAACCGCGUCCACUUUAUGCAGAGCGCUCGGAAGCAACGGAGAACGCUUCAUUUUGUAAUCUUUGCAGUCGUGCGCCCGUGGCCAUCUGUGCCGCAGCCAUGGUGUGUGCGUGCGCGUUGGUGUGUGCGCCUCUCGGCCUGCGUGACGUCUGUUCUAAGCCCCAUGCGGGCUGGUGCACGCAUUGGUCUCUCAGUCACCCAAAAGCAGAUGUCGCCGGGGUGACGGGGAGUGCCAGAUUGCGGUGGCAAGCGACCGGUGGCAAGUUGAAGGUGUCUCCGCCCCACCGUGCCCGGCAGAUGGAAACUGAGGUCAUUAUCUGCUCGCUUAAAAAAAAACACCUUGAGUCAAGCUCCUAUAGGAAUCAAUCAGUAACUGAGCAAGACAUGAAAGUCUGAGCCAAAUUUGUGUGUUCUCCAUGAGAUUCUCUGGCGAGACUUAGUGAAGCCCUUUGAACACCCCAGUUUCGAUAAAAGCUCCAUAUAAGUACACUCCGUUUGCUGUUUAUCAUUCCUACUCUGUAAAAUAAAUACAUGAAUAAAAGCUUGAUACGCUGACAGAGAGUCGACGAAACAGCUCCGCAACCAAAGAUGAACUGCGAUAUAGCGAGGGAACACCCCAUUGACGUAAACUGCAAUGUCAGCAAAGUUGAGUCCUUAUGUCAAGAGACACGCCUUCCAAACACACAGUAAUCUCACUCUGCCUGUUUGUUGCCCCGUCACGAAACGGUGACUUGUUUCUGUUGUUAUACCUUAGUGCUAACCCUAACACAAACACAAACCUUCCUGUGUCCUGAAAUCAUCAGAGUUCAAGUUGUUUUAUUCGCUUGCGCCAUGUUGACCA